GACGAACGCUGGCGGCGUGCCUAAUACAUGCAAGUAGAACGCACAGUUUAUACCGUAGCUUGCUACACCAUAGACUGUGAGUUGCGAACGGGUGAGUAACGCGUAGGUAACCUGCCUGGUAGCGGGGGAUAACUAUUGGAAACGAUAGCUAAUACCGCAUAAUAUUGAUUAUUGCAUGAUAAUUGAUUGAAAGAUGCUAUUGCAUCACUACCAGAUGGACCUGCGUUGUAUUAGCUAGUAGGUGAGGUAACGGCUCACCUAGGCGACGAUACAUAGCCGACCUGAGAGGGUGAUCGGCCACACUGGGACGGAGACACGGCCCAGACUCCUACGGGAGGCAGCAGUAGGGAAUCUUCGGCAAUGGACGAAAGUCUGACCGAGCAACGCCGCGUGAGUGAAGAAGGUUUUCGGAUCGGAAAGCUCUGUUGUAAGAGAAGAACGGGUGUGAGAGUGGAAAGUUCACACUGUGACGGUAUCUGACCAGAAAGGGACGGCUAACUACGUG
rnacentral:rRNA from 1 species